GACGAACGCUGGCGGCGUGCCUAACACAUGCAAGUCGAACGGGGUAGCAAUACCCAGUGGCGGACGGGUGCGUAACACGUGAGGAACAUGUCUUUCGGCGGGGAAGUAGCCGGCCUAACGGCCGGGUAAGUACCGCGUACGACGAUUGGGGCGGCAUGCCUUGAUCGUGAAAGCAGCAAUGCACCGAUAGAGUGCCUCGCGGCCUAUCAGCUAGUUGGUGAGGUAAUGGCUCACCAAGGCGACGACGGGUAGCUGGUCUGAGAGGAUGAUCAGCCACAUUGGGACUGAGACACGGCCCAGACUCCUACGGGAGGCAGCAGUGGGGAAUAUUGCGCAAUGGGCGAAAGCCUGACGCAGCGACGCCGCGUGUGGGAUGAAGGUCUUCGGA
rnacentral:rRNA from 1 species